UCCGAGUGCAGCGCUCGCAGGCUGCAGGACGCAGAAGAAGCCAAGAUGUCCAGAACUGGACAGACCCCUGGGACGCCGGCAGGAGCAAUGCCCCAGGUUCUGCUCGCUCAGCCUGCCCUAUACAUCAAGCUGGGCAGUUUGUAAACACUUGCGUCACCCCGGAGGCGGCAGCAAAAACUGGGCAUCUGACAGUCAGGCAAACAUCCGGGGAGCCAGGGACACGUGCCCCACACGCCUUCAAAAUCAAAACAUCGGCUGUUCCCUGCAAGCCAACACUGAUGGCCACGGAUGACCAAGAGGCGAAGGUGCAGGAGGGGAGAGCGAAGAGGGAAUAUUCUGCCUAUCUACAACGCUGCUGAUCUGCCAAGCCCAAAGCCUUAGCCCACUCCCUGCAGGGCAGCUUUGUGGGCCUGGUGGGGACCAGCCCAGGUACCCUCCAUGCUGUCCUCCCGGCGGACGUUGAAGUUGUCGUAGGAGUCCCAUCGGAUGAGGGGGUCCGAGGUGUUGUAAUCCACGGAGACGCUGGGGCCGUUCUCCAGAUGUUCCAUCCCUGGGGGCAGGCGGAGUAACGCUGGAGGACACGAAACAGGAACUACUAAAGUUGGACGUUUCAAAUCAGAGGUCUAGAUAAUUUGCAUCCAAGAGUUUUAAAAGAGCUGGCUGAGGAGGUCGCUGGACCAUUCAUGUUGAUUUUC